CGCCUGAGUAGCUCAGUUGGAUAGAGCAACGCUUUUGUAAAGCGUAGGUCGUCGGUUCGAGUCCGACCUUGGGCU
rnacentral:tRNA from 1 species